AAAAAAAUUUGCCUUCUAACAAAGCAUUGGUAUUUAAUUAUUUAAAAAUUGGAGGUGGGGUGGACUUGCACAAUUAUUAUCUUAUAUUCAAGAUAAUUCCAAUGACUCAAUAGAUACUGAAACAUAAAUACAAGAAAAGGAAGCAUCUUUAACAUUGAUUCUUAGAACAUAUACCGGUGUAGAACAUUAGGGUUUCAUCUAGCAAAUGAGAUAUUAAAGGCAAGAUAAAAGUUAUGUAGUAGAUAAACAGCUAUAUAAUUAUGCAGCACCAACAUGAAUACACAUACCUGUUAAAAUUGAUACUAUUCUGUGUAUGUCAUAUGUAUUCAGAUCUAUCUUACUAUAAUUAUUAAAUGAUAUAGAAAUGAAGUGAAGUGAAAUGUUAGCACAGAACUUGUAUAAAGAAGUAAAUGCUAUCUAUAAUAAGCAAAUAAUAACAAAUUAGAAAAAUAGAUAAAAAUUUACCGUCCGAUCAAUGUUACAAAUGACAAGACAUGCUAAAAACUCAGACUUUCUUUGUUUCUUAAAUUGAUAAGUUCACAGGAAAUAUGUAGAAACAGGAGAACCAAAUGGAAUGAGGGCAGAGUAUACAAGGAUCUUGACACUGUAUUAUAGUAACAGGUGCCAGAUGGCAUAUAAUACAUAGGACUAAGAUCCUCUCCAUUACCGAAGAGACAAAUAACACACAAUAAUAAAUAAAAGAUAUGAUAUUUUUAUCCUUUUGUUUAAAAUGAAAUGACAUUUUUCCAUUAAAAAUAUGGGAAGAAACAAAUACUUGUCAUUUGUCAGCCCAUUACAUGAGGAUCAUUAUUCUAUGAUACCUUAUUAUUAAUUAAUCAAUUGAACAAAACUAGGUCUUGGUUUUAUCACAGUUGACAAUGGUUAAACUAAUUAAAGGGUCUCAUCAAAAUGGUUUUUCAAGUAGGAUUCAAAACUUUGGUUAUCUUAGAUAAAUUAGUAAUAUAGAAUUACAGAUAUUAGAGAGAAUAAAAUAGGCCACGAAACCCUAAAGAGAGAUAUGUACAUAGAGAACGGUAAGAGGGAAAAGGAGGGACAUGAAAGAGAGGAGAAUGUUUAACUGAGUUCAAAAGGAGACCAGAUCUAAGGAAAUAUAGAAGAAACAGACAGAUCUGGUGGUUGGAAAACACAGUUGAGAGUAGAUCUGGCUAAUGAAGAACAAGAGGAAAAAGGUAAAUACACCUGACAACAAAAGCAUCAUCAUAACUUGAUCAGAACAAAAAAGGGAAGAAAACGAAAAGGAAGUAAUGAUGAAAACCUUUUGUAACAAUUGAAAAUUGGUCAACAUGUUCAUUAUUACACCAAUCUGCAUAACUACUACUACCCACAUGUGUAACUGAUCUGAAAACAAAACCCCACUGUUCAGAUCUACCUAUAAUUAAGAAAAAAACAAAACUUUCAGAGAAAAUUAUUAAAUCUUCUAAAUAAAUGGUAAUUAUAAUACAGAAAUAGAGGACCCAAACCUAUAAAAUGUUGUCCAUGGGCAUAAGCUAUGUUGGUUUUGUUUAUCAUCCGGAAGAUUAUAGUUCAGGGGAAUGAAGCCUGGUCCGACAACACUAUAAAUUUCUUAAUCAAGUAUAUUGAUUAAAGAUGAAAGAGUCCUCGAGCCAGACAACAUUCCCCUAAAAAAGAAAGCUUCCUAAAUGGUUUCCUUCUUCAUGCGUCCUAUAUUAAAAUCAUUUUUCUUUUUUCUUUAAAGAGAAAUGGUUUGGUUUUAUUGACUUGUACAGUCUAUGGUAUCUCUUCAUCCCCCAUGAGUCUCGCCUAUGAUAAAGGGAGAGAGGGAGAGAGGGAGAGAGAGAGAGAUAUGGGUGUUGUGGUGAGAAUGAGUGGGUGAAUGUGAAUGAUGAGAUGAGAGGGGGAGAAGAAUGGGGGAUUAUAACAAGGUUAAAGAUAAAUAAAGGAGGGAGUGGGGGAAGGCAACGUUAUAAAAAAAAGACAAAAGGAUUGGUUCAGGGGUAGACCCUACAAGCUUGGUUCUCACAUCCAGAAAUGACCACGACCCC
rnacentral:lncRNA from 1 species